rnacentral:rRNA from 1 species
CCGCGGUAAUACGAAGGGGGCUAGCGUUGUUCGGAAUUACUGGGCGUAAAGCGCACGUAGGCGGCUUUCCAAGUUGGAGGUGAAAUCCCCGGGCUUAACCCGGGAACUGCCUCCAAAACUGAAAGGCUAGAGUCCGAGAGAGGUGAGUGGAAUUUCCAGUGUAGAGGUGAAAUUCGUAGAUAUUGGAAAGAACACCAGUGGCGAAGGCGGCUCACUGGCUCGGUACUGACGCUGAGGUGCGACAGCGUGGGGAGCAAACAGG